UGGCACCGUCGAUCGAGGAGGAGAGUCAGUUUUAUAUUCGCGAAUUGCCUCUUCGUACUGCGUAUGACGAUCAGAUGCCUGAGUCCAGGAUGGAUCGAGAUAGGGAGGAUCGUUCAGUAUUACCUCCGUUGAGGAUAUCACCUCCACCGACGAGAGCACGUCCAGCGAGGAUGUCACCUCCGCUGAGAAGAUCACGUCCAGCUACGCCAGAGUUUCAGAUGCCUGAGUCUAGCGUUGAUCGAGAUAGAGAGGGCCGUCCAGUAUCGCCUCCUGCACCU